UGGGACAAACUGGGUGCUUCUCCUGUGCUCUCCUCUUUCCUAAUAUGUACAUGGGAUUUUUCUCUGCAGUCAGUGUGAGAGCAGAACAAACCCACAAGCUCCGCUCUGUCCCGCCUCAGGGCUGGGUCGGCUGCUUGUUCAGCAUUGUUUCUCUCCCAGCCCGCCUCCUCUCCUUGAGUGAAGGGAAUGGCAGCGAAUCCCUGACAGUGAUGCAGGAGGACGGACAUGUCCUGUGUGCCUAAGAUCACCCUGAGCAGCUGCAUUAUCCUGGCAGCCUCCUCUGUCUCCAUCUGCUGCGCUUGAAUGAGGAGGGCUCCCAAUGCUUGUGCUGCCGGCUUUGAGAAGGCCAUGGCACGCAGGUGCUCUGAAGUCCUAGCAAAUCACCACUUACAGCUGCGGGGGUAAAGGUAGGAGAGGUGUUCUACUCAAAUGGACGUGGAUCUGUCUUGCUGGCACACACUUCCCUUCCAAGCAUAUUUCAGUUGAUGUCCGGAAUGUGAAAAGCUUAGAGAGAGUGAAACCCCUAGCUCAGGUUCAGUCAAUACAUAAUUUAAAGUGUUAUUGAUGGGUUUUGUGGCUGUGCUAUGUGUGAGAAUGCUGUGAUCCGACAACCUCAGCUUACAGAUACAGAGACGCAGGAAUUUCAGGUAUACCAUUUCCAUCCAAUUCACAUGCAGUCCUUGAGAGCAACCUGGCUGAUGUCGGUAAACAGCACGUGACCCUGUAAUGCAACCAAAUGUGACAGAGUAUGAUUUAAUACAGUAUAUGUGUCUUUGAGGAUACAUGGCAAUAAUAUAUGUGGAAUAAACAGCGAGUUUUGCAUAAUAUAUGUAUUUUGGUGCUUUCUUUUGUGUUGAAAAAAAAACACAUGAGUAACCUAAAUAUUUCACAAUUUUAAUACAAGUGUUAGUGUUUGAGACUACAUUCUGUGACCCAUGCAGUAAUGUAACUCACAACACUUGCAUUUAUUCCCCAGAGAAACUAUAAGGGAGGACAAUUGCUGUUUUAAGGUACUUUCAAGUUAGUAUUUUGCUUUCCAGUUCUUGCUUUUAAUCUCUGUAAAAUGUAAAUAUUAUUUGCCUGUGUGCUGAUACAGGGUGGGAUCUAUUAUCUGAUAUCUUGUUAUACAGAAAACUCUGAAAUAAAGGAAUGUAUUUCUGUAUUGAAUCCAAUUUUUUUUUAAAAAAAUCUCUGAUAUGACAAAACAAUGUAUUUUACAUAACUGAAGCUAGUAUCAAUAAUGUUAAAAACUAUCAUUUUUAUGUUUAAUUAUUUUUAGUAGCCUUAAGGUAUGGUCCAGGUAUGAAAAUCCCUGACCCUAAGCAAUUUAGAUAAUAAAUCUUUUGCCUUAUAUAUAUUUCUGCUUUAUAAUUUCCUUUAUUUCUGUGUUGUGAUUCAGUAACUAACUUUAAUUCUUCUGUUUUACAGUAUUGUGGCUGGGGGUGCAGUCUGAAGGCCAGUUAGGGUCAGAUUUUGGAAUUAUUCUUAUUCUACCCCAGAUACUCCUGAAAACACAGUUUUGGUGAAAUGUGUUGUAAACAAUGACUUGUACUAGAUAUUCUUGAAUCAAAGACUGAAGGGAGAUUAUACCUGUCUUUUCGUAAAUCUGUAACCUUAUUAUGAGCCAAAAGGGACUUUGAAAACAUGUUGCUACUGCAAAAGUUAAAGAGAUGGACAGUUCUGGGUUACCAGAACACAAACUUAAUUGGCUUAAUUGGAGCUGAAAGUGAUUCUGACAACUCAGUAUCAAAUUUGUAACUAAAUUAGCAUCAUUGCCAGGAUCUGAUACACUGGGAAUGGCAUAUAGCUUUGUUCCAAUUGCUGCAUGUUUGCUACAGCAGCACAAAACUGCAGGCUUGACUAUCUCCUUGUAGAAUAGUAACUUUGGGCAUAUAUAUUAGAGGGUGAAUGGACAGUUUGCCAGAUAAGAGCUAUGCUCACUUCUAUAGGAUUUUUAGUUAUCUCUGGAGGACUGUCCUUUCACCCUUGGAGAAAUAUGCAACUUUGUAUAAUUCUAAAAAUGUACAGACCAAUUUCAUUCAUGUACUAUGACAGUUAUGUGUAUAAACACACAGCCUUAUUAUUAUUAUUCAUUAUAAUAAAAUAAUAUUAUAAAAUAAUCUAAUGGAGCUAAUUCAUUAGAUGUUAUUCAGUCUUACUGUGUGAUGCAACAGGAGUCCCAAGAAUAAAUGAGUAAAUCCUCAUUCUCAGUUAUCACUCCAAUUCAAAAUGAAAGAAAGCAACAUGAAUGAUUGAUAAACAUUAUUCUACUGUUUUAUAAGAUCUUUUGAAAACAUUCCUUGAUGAACAAUGCAAUUCAGAAAUUCCUGGACUAACAUAUUUGCCUGUGUCUGCUGGGAACAAAAAAGAAACUGAAAAGAUUAUUAAAUAUAUGUACCGAAAUGCACAAACAUUUUUCCUGGGAGUUUGUGGUGACUUUAAGUGGUUUAUUUAUAGCAUUUAUUCUGUGUAUAUUUGUUUGCAACGUUUCAGUUGUAUGGUUACCACAUUUGUUACAAAUGAAAGCAAAAAAUUUAAAUAUAUAUUUACUAAUAAAAUUAA